AUGGGGGUGCGUCCGUGGCGGCUACCCUUCCAUGCCGUCUCCGUCCGCCCCUGCCGCUCCGCGGUCUCCUCCGAAUCCGCAUCCUCCCCGCAGCAGGCGCCGACACCGGUUGGCGGCGACGACGCCAACGGGCCCACCGGCGUGCCCGUGCCCUUCUCCCGUGCCCUCCCAGGCGGCGGCGGCAGUUGGACAAUUCAGGGCGAGACGAUGCUGACCUGGGACGUGACGAUGCUGUGGUGGGACAUGAUGUACACGGAGGAGUUCGUGCCGGCCGAUGAGGGCGCCUACACCAUUGUGGCUGUGGCUUUCGCGUCCCAUGCCCUGUUCGAUUCUCUGCGCUGUGCUGCUCCUCCGGUGCCAUUCGGGGGCCACAACCGCGUGGUGCGUGGCGCCCAGGGGUUGCUAAUGCUCGCAUUUGGAGGGAUUUGCGAGUCGGAUGUAGCGGUUCCACUAUGCCGUGUUGAUUUUAGUUUCGUGGUAGGUUGA
rnacentral:rRNA from 1 species